AUGAAUAGCAGAGAUAGUGUGCUGCUCUUUGUUGAAGUUGCUUCUCACACCUCUAUUCUCUAUCAUCUUGCACCCUUCCAGUAUCACACACCCUAUUCUGGGAGAGAACAUACACAUGUUACUCUUGUGGAAGAAAAGCACUUAAAACACAACAAUAAUGCUUUUGGCCGACUUAGCCUUUUCUUGUUAUUGCUAUUAUUCCCUCUAAACAAAUUGGUCACAAGGAUGGAUAUAUACAGGACACACACAACAUCUUUGAUUCACUGCUUUCAUGAAGUCCCGCAUGUUCCAUCUAAGUGCAUGCGUUGUCCGAGUAGACUCAUGGAUGCACACUGUGCCAUUGCAAGCAAGCAACUAAUCUACUCAACGAGCUACUGUUACACCUCUAAGGAAGCUAAAUGUCCAGGGUGCUAUGCCCACAUGCAUGCACAUCUUGAGUCAAGUUAA
rnacentral:rRNA from 1 species